rnacentral:rRNA from 1 species
UGGAAAUGCCGUCGCUCAACGGAUAAAAGCUACCCUGGGGAUAACAGGCUGAUCUCCCCCAAGAGUCCACAUCGACGGGGAGGUUUGGCACCUCGAUGUCGGCUCAUCGCAUCCUGGGGCUGAAUUCGGUCCCAAGGGUUUGGCUGUUCGCCAAUUAAAGCGGUACGCGAGCUGGGUUCAGAACGUCGUGAGACAGUUUGGUCUCUAUCCUCUGCGCUCGUUGGAAUCCUGAGGAGGCCUGCCCAUAGUACGAGAGGACCUGGGUGGACGGACCUCUGGUAUGCCGGUUGUCGCGCCAGCGGCAUGGCCGGUUGGCUACGUUCGGGAGGGAUAACCGCUGAAAGCAUCUAAGCGGGAAGCCUGCUCCAAGAUUAGGAUUCCUUGACGCUCCCCGGAGCGUUUGUAGCCCGCAUGUGGAACACGUGUUCGAUAGGCCGGAGGUGGAAGCCCCGCGAGGGGUGGAGCCGACCGGUACUAACGGGCGAACGCGGCACACUU